rnacentral:rRNA from 1 species
UACGUAGGGUGCGAGCGUUGUCCGGAAUUACUGGGCGUAAAGAGCUCGUAGGUGGUUUGUCGCGUUGUUCGUGAAAACUCACAGCUUAACUGUGGGCGUGCGGGCGAUACGGGCAGACUGGAGUACUGCAGGGGAGACUGGAAUUCCUGGCGUAGCGGUGGAAUGCGCAGAUAUCAGGAGGAACACCGGUGGCGAAGGCGGGUCUCUGGGCAGUAACUGACGCUGGAGGAGCGAAAGCGUGGGGAGCGAACAGG